GUGUCAGCAGCCGCGGUAAUACGGAGGGUGCAAACGUUGCUCGGAAUCAUUGGGCGUAAAGCGCACGUAGGCGGCGCGUUAAGUUGGAUGUGAAAGCCCUCGGCUUAACCGAGGAAGUGCAUACAAAACUGGCGCGCUUGAGUACAAAAGAGGAUCGCGGAAUUCCCGGUGUAGAGGUGAAAUUCGUAGAUAUCGGGAGGAACACCAGCGGCGAAGGCGGCGAUCUGGGUUGAUACUGACGCUGAGGUGCGAAAGCGUGGGGAGCAAACAGGAUUAGAAACCCUGGUAGUCC
rnacentral:rRNA from 1 species